AUUGAACGCUGGCGGCAGGCCUAACACAUGCAAGUCGAGCGGAUGAAGGGAGCUUGCUCCUGGAUUCAGCGGCGGACGGGUGAGUAAUGCCUAGGAAUCUGCCUGGUAGUGGGGGAUAACGUCCGGAAACGGGCGCUAAUACCGCAUACGUCCUGAGGGAGAAAGUGGGGGAUCUUCGGACCUCACGCUAUCAGAUGAGCCUAGGUCGGAUUAGCUAGUUGGUGGGGUAAAGGCCUACCAAGGCGACGAUCCGUAACUGGUCUGAGAGGAUGAUCAGUCACACUGGAACUGAGACACGGUCAGACUCCUACGGGAGGCAGCAGUGGGGAAUAUUGGACAAUGGGCGAAAGCCUGAUCCAGCCAUGCCGCGUGUGUGAAGAAGGUCUUCGGAUUGUAAAGCACUUUAAGUUGGGAGGAAGGGCAGUAAGUUAAUACCUUGCUGUUUUGACGUUACCAACAGAAUAAGCACCGGCUAACUUCGUG
rnacentral:rRNA from 1 species